rnacentral:rRNA from 1 species
CAGUAGGGAUACCCGCUGACUUA